rnacentral:misc_RNA from 1 species
AGUGUGUUCAUCUUAUCUUUGAGAUGUAUAUAAGUUGGGAGUCCACAGAAGGCAAGGUAUAGAAAACCUACAACAGAGUCUGAACUAAUUUUAAAACAUGCUUUCCUACCGAACGGUUUACGAUUCCGAUGGUUUCAUUCCAUCAGUUGAUGUCCUAGACGACAUACAAUGCAGACGACUGAAGGAAAACUUCGACAGCCUGGAAAAAGACGCAGGAAAACAAGCGUCUCAAUAUUCUUUUCACAACAUUCACCUUGCGCACCAAUGGGUUCUACAAAUUGCCUCUCAUCCAAACAUUCUGAAGCCUGUGAAGGAUAUCUUAGGAUCAAAUGUAAUGCUGCUAGAUUCUCGAUUCAUCUGUAAAUAUCCGGAGUCUGACAGUGGCGUCCAAGCCUUUGUAGCCUGGCAUCAGGAUAUGAAGUACUGGGGUAUAGAGGGUACGGUUGUUACUGCUUGGCUUGCCGUUGAUGAUUCAGAUGUGAAAAAUGGAUGCUUGCAAGUCAUUCCAGGUACUCUGUAGACUGGGCAUCAGUUUUCAUUAUCAGAUCUUUUAUUUUUUUUUUCUAAAACUGUUUCUAUUUAACAAAGAUAUUUGUAUACACCCUGAAAUAAUGUCAAUUUUGUAGGUACUCAUAAGAAUGGUCUCGUUCAACAUGAGACAUGCAAAGUUGGGGGAAACUUGCUAAGUUCAAACCAGUCAAUUCCUCUCGAGUUUGUCGAUUUGACAUCAGUUCGUGCAUGUCCACUCAAGGCUGGACAAAUGUCUCUUCACGAUGGAUUGCUUAUUCAUGGAAGUGAGCCCAAUACAUCAUCAAAGCGGCGCUGUGGUUUUGUAAUCAGAUACGUAGCUACCGACGCUAAACCAAUUCAAGACCCCGAUAGACCUCGGACUUUUCCUUGCACGGUUCUUCUUUCUGGGAAAGACGAAUACGGAAAUUUUGAAGACAACAAACCGGAGUGGUUUCGCGAACUGAAUUGAACCAGUUUAACCUCUUAACUGUGAUAAGCUCGUUAGUUUUCUUGAGUACCCAUAAAUUAUUCAUUAUAUAUAUUUUUUAAUUUUUACAUCAUUUGCUACUCAUUUUCACGAUUGUUUUAAGAUUGUGAAUCAAGCAGUCUUCUUAACUGACUAAUCUUUAUGAAUCUUUAAUAUAACGUCAAUAUUGACUCAUAUUAAAUUGUAACAUCGACAAAUUGUAAUAUUGUGAUAUUUUAAGCAAAUAUUUUGUGUUUUGAAAUAAGAGACACACAAAUGUGAUUUUUUAAAACUAAUUGAACUUGAUUUAAAAAUUAAGUACUAUUAAAGACACCACAUAAUUUUUUGCAUUGGGAAGAAGGAAAUAAGUCAUUAUCACGCACUAAAAAUGUACAACCAUUUAUAUUUGAUUUUUACAUAUAUAUAAAUCUACCUGUUUCUGAUUUUUUAAAAAUUAGGUCAUGUUAAAUGAAUUUGUGACUC